AAUUAAUUCUUAAUUUAGAUCGGUACCUUUUACAUAAUAAUUACUGUCUCCCCGGUUUGUGUCGUAAUGUACAGUUAUAAUUAAGUGAACUAUAAUAAUAAUAAUAAUAAUCCAGAAUGGAAGAAAAACUGACAGCAUCGAUCAUGCAGUGGUUAUUGAUCAUCUAAUACAUUUUCAGAACCUAAGUUCCAUUUACUGUUGCAUCCUUCAGAUAUGGAAGUGAGAUAGCACUUUUCCUAUUGCGAUUGGUAGUAGAAAGGAUUACGGAUGAACCGAAUGUAUCAUCCGACGUCACUAAUCAUUCCAGAUUCAGUUACAUAAAUGCCUCCAUUCUUUCUCGCUGCUCCAAUUUUAGUAUUCAUAAAUUACGGUCGGAAGUUUUUGCCCGAGUAAUUCCACCUUCCCACUUGUCGAAAUUUAGAAAAUAUCGAAAGUACUCGGUAAAAUUAUCGACAGAUUGAAGUAACCAGACCCAAGCAAUAACGCUGGUUUUAGUUUUUUAAUUUGGGAAAGCGGACGUUGGUAAGAGGUAUUUAUCAUGGCGAGGGCGAGAAAAUAUAUACUGAUUGCAGUCGGAAAUUAAAAAUAAUUGUUUAAUAACUGUUGAUAAACUGCUAUUAGUGUAAACAUAGUCGGGAAGUUUUGGUGCAGCCGCCAACUGCCGAACGAAUUGCUGGCGGUGAGGAAGAAAUAUCUGUUCUCUUUUAAAUGAUUAUUUUAUUAUUUUUUAAAUUUUUGAUGCGUUUAAUUUUGUUCGGAGACUACCGUCUGUCAACAUGUACGCAUUCGAUUCUGUAGUUGGUUUUUAUGUAAUGACAGGAAUAAGAAAUCACCGACAAAUAGCUGUCUUGAUUUGGUUUGGUGUGGCUUACACAAUCCCAUUUCACGUCGAACUCGACAAGAAAUUGCAUUUUGCUAGUUGCCUUUUUCCCUUUUUUUUUUCUUCCUCUUCAGCCUCGCCUCAGUAAUAUUAUCCCGGAUACGAGUUAAUAACUAGCGAAAGAACUGACUGGAAAAGUAAAAUUAAGAGGGGGGAAAAUAGGAUGAAGAAAUAAAAAUCGGAGCGUAAAGUUUCUAAAGAUUUCUCUCCGAUGUGGUUACGUCGCUACCGACUGGCUUUUGACGAGGAAAGGAUCAGGGAGGGGAGCAUCGGUUGUGCGCGCAAAUCUGCUAAUUGAUUCGUAGUAGCCAGCCGUCGAUUCUGAAUUACACUUCCGAGUUGACUCCAUACCUCGCUGUAAACUAAAUCGAAUCCUAUUAACGUAUUUCUUUGCCGAAAAAAUUUUAAAGGUCACUUGUUUUUCUUUCUCCUCUCAAUUUUUAAGAACCGCUGGCUCUCUUACGAAAUUUGCUCUGGCAUAUUUUUUUUUUAUUUUUAAAGAUAAUUUCUCUACCAGGAUCGAUUGGUUUAGCAUGGUUUUCGGCCGUGACAACUAGAAGUAUCGUGCUAUUUAUAGAAUACUGUUUAUUUAAAGAGACAUUUUUAAGCUUAUUAAUUUCUCAUUUUCUUUUCUAAAGUGCAUUUUAGUCGUUUCCAACCGGUGAAAUAAAUGCGUAUAACCGUCGCCUUCCGGACUGAAAAAAUAUUUUAUAUAUAUAUGUCGAUAAUCCGACCGUUAUUCUGCUUUAUUAUAAUAUAAAAUAAUAAUAGCUUUUAUAUUACGUUUUUAUACAAUAUAUUAAUUUAUCUUUCUGCGUGAGAUGGUAAAAAUUCCUGUUUAAUCAGCGUACUUUUCGGGCGGCUAUGGAAAUGCAUUAUCUGGAGUGCAACAGGAAUCGAGUAAAAAGGAUUUUUCGGAGUGAAACUUUUCAGGAGGAUCUUUUUUUCCCUCCCUCUCCUAUUUACGUUUCUGGAUUUCGAUGUUUGGCCAGAUGCCUUUGAGCCUGGAGGACAUAGAUUUGAAUACGCCUUACGCGCGAUUGAUGCGAAAAGCUGUUCGGAGUAAUGUUUUUGUACCGUACCAGAGAAUAUAUUUUCGUAGAAAUAUCGAUGUAAAUGAUAAAAAUUAUUUAUUAGUUGGUUUAGAAACCGCGUUAGAUAGUUUAGGAAAAUCCGAGAAUCGGUAUUACCCGUACUUUAAAUAGAUUAUCGAAGUAAAAUCCAGUCUCGAGCGGGUGGAGAAUUUAAAUAGAAAAUUCGAUAAAGUUGAACGUUGUUAUAGAUUUAGUCAGCGAUCGGAAAUACAGCUUUUAUGCACCCAUAAUCUAGGCGUACUACUUCAUUUUCGUGUAAUGGUCUCUGUACACGCAAACCUUACCAGUGAAGACAGCGGUCCUCGGGGGUAAUGCUCUUAUGGAGAUUUUAUUCUGUAUCCAAAAUGGCUGCCAUCACCACGCACACCACCCAAACGUCCAAAAGUGCCACGUGUCGUCACUCGGCGACUCGUUGAUUCGGUUCCGUAAUUGAAAACUAUACAGUUACAUUUAUCUUCCAUUUUUAUACGUUACGCUUUUAUUACUCGACAUAAGUAUCAUAAAUGUAAAUCUAUAAAUGGCCGGAAUGUCGUUUCCCGCUACCAAACACAAAAUAUACUCUUAUUUCUCUCAAGGUUUAUAGGUAAAGAUGCGCUGACAAAGUACUCCAACCGAUCCUUAGUCACUGUUGGGACCGAUAUCUUUCCUUUUUUUUACCGGAGUAUAUAAUAAAUUGAAUUCCUAAAUCCAACAACCCAGGAAUAAAAUCCUUAAAAGUUUUGCAUGUAGUAGAGAGGGAUCGAGGAAGAAAUCUUUUGUUUUUUCUUCUUCUUCUAGUUAUUAUUUGAAAAAGGGACUGCUGGUGAAAAGUUUACUCCGUGGCGCUUUCCGCGAAUAAUAGUGGAAUUGUUUCGCUUCUUGGUAGACUAGUUUUUUUCGUCGUUUAAAAUUUCCUUUAGAAAUUAACGAUUUUUCCGGAGCGAAUUCAUUAAUAAAUAAAAUUUUUAACGCGUUACAAAACACCGAAAUUAUAAAAAAGCGACGCCAUUCUUCCAACAUCGACAGUCGGGAGAGAGACUAUAAUUGCCACGAGUAAUGGCAGAAUCAAUGUUUCCAUUUAUAAAUUUGUCAAUGUCACCUGCCAUAUACGUGUAUUAAGUCGUGUUUGUUUAUUUUUCGUAAAAAUCUACGGCGGGUGGAGAACCCGGGUCGUAUAUAUAUUUUUUUUUUUUCGAUUUUUAUCAUUUUUAAUAUAACUUAACUCUAGAUCGUCGACCGAACUGGAAAAAACACGCUAGCAAAAAUUCCGUUUUGUAGAAAUAUCCGAAGAAGGAAAAAAAGAAAGAAAAGCGGAUAGAUUAAGUGGCCGAUAUGCUGUAUAUCAAGUAGAGAUAUUCGCAGAAUAAUCGAUACGAAUUACAAUAAUUUUAUGGCGGUUGUAUGCCCCAUUGACUACUUACCUGAGACCGAUCUGAUUUAUUAUCUUCCAAAAUAGAUAAUACGAAAAGAAGAAAAUGUCCUAUCUUUCCCUCUCUUUCCUCCUCCGGACCCUUUAUCGACUUCAUUCAUAUUUAAAAUAAUUUAAAUGUCAUUAAUGAAAUAUUCGAACGGUUAAGAUCGCAAUUUUCCGAGAGUCGCCAUAAUUUACAAAUCUAAUUAUCACAGACCGGUUAUUAUUUAUCGCCGCCAUCUAGUCGUGGAAGGAAGAAACGACAAAAAUCUCCGGACUCGAUUAAUUCGUGACGUAAAACUCGGAGUGUUAAUUAGAAAUUUGAUAAGAAAAGAAACGAUUUUCUCCUUGGAAGAGUCUCUAUCGUUACAUUAAAUCGGAAUGCGUGUCCUCUAAAAAGGAGUGAUCGAAAAAAAAGAAAUGCGAGAAUUUUUUCUUUUUCCUUUUUUUUAAUCCCUCCGAAGGAUUUCGUUGCCAGAACCCGGCGAAUUAAAACGUAAAGUUGUUAAGUGUUCCGUUCCAAUCAAUGGAAUUUUGACACCGCCGCGUUAUUUCAGCUUGCCAUGCUCGUUUUGCGCUCUCUAAUCGGCGCUGGGAUAAUAAAGAAGGCGUUAGAAUUUCGUGCAGUUUAGUGCUCAUUCCAGUAGUCGGAUUUCCACAGGUUAGUUAGUUUCCAUUUCAAUCAUUACAUUUUUUAAUAGACUCGGUUACACGAUCGUAAACCGAUAGUUAUGUACACUUGUAUCUGGUACAUUUACGAAAACGCGCCUACUUCGUGUUAUACGUCACGCACGCACUUCGUUAUUCUUUUUUUUUGUAUCGAAUUUCUUCUCUUGUGAUAGUUGAUCCGAAGCUUUUUGAGAAAUCUGUUCUGGUAAAAAAGAAACUUGAUAUUUUUAUCGAAUUGGAGGGUGAAAAUACUCUAAAAAUUAAAUAAACGUUUUAAAAAUAAAGAUCGGUUAAUUGCUCGCC
rnacentral:lncRNA from 1 species